CAGGACGCCCAGUCAAAUUUGAAUUUAGACAAACAACAAAAAACUAUUUCGUAUAAGUGCCUCUUAUGCAAUAUUUGGGCCAUACUUAUGUUAAAAUAAUUUAUCAGUUAUCCGAAAUUCAAACUUAACUAGGCCUCCUGU
rnacentral:miRNA from 1 species